AGGCUGACUCCGGAGCUAGAGAGGAGCACAUUCGAGCGAGAAGCUACGUGGGUGCAAACAACACUCCAGUUUCUGCCCGGGAGGAGCCGGAUCUAACAACUAGGUUGCAACCAGAGGAAUCGCGCUAGUUGAAGGCGUCUAGGCUGCCGUGCGCCUCGGGGUUACUGCCGGGCAUCGCGCGGGCGGGGCGGGCGCUAGGAGGGGCAUGUCCUCGGCCUCAGGAACCAUCAUAAUGGAAACACUCAUAGGCAUCUGGAGAGGUCUGAGGCUCUCAUCCACACCAGCCUCGACGAUAGGAGUCUGUGGUGGUCCUUCUGUUCUAGAAAGUGCCCUCUUUCCUGGCAUCCCAAAAAUCUGGGAGGGUCAAGGAGAAACUGAUUUUCAAAAAUACCCUUUCCUGCAGGAGUUCAAGCCCCUACCUACCGACCGACCUGUGGUCUCUGAAGUUGGACAAUGCUCCCCAACAGGUGCAAACAGAAUACCUGUUUGACCGGGCUUUGUCUCUAGGAAACUACAUACGAGGUGAUGGAAAUGCUAUUAAGAGAUGGGACCCAUACCUGACACUAUCAAUGAGGCUAAGAACCUGUAACUAGAUUACUGAAUUUUUCAACUCUCCUUGCAGUGAUGUGAAUUAACACAGAGACCUACAAUUGAUUCAGGGAUCUAUGUAGAAGAGGAAGCAGGGAGAUUCUAAGAGCCAGAGAUGGUGGAUGACUUCAAAGAAACAAUGUUUUCCAGCUACAACAGGUCAGUUGCACAAAUGAAUCCACAGAGAUUGGAACUGCACACACAAGCACAAGACAUAAGAUGAAGCCAGACAAAAACCCAGCAAAAGACAGGGAUGAGUGUGACGUCCUAUCCCUUGCUGAUGGUAGACUGCCAUUUUAUUGUUGCUGGGAGAGAGUCAGUGUCCCAUAUAGCCCUGGCCUAGGUAAUUGAGGAUGAUCUUGGAUUUUUCAUCCUCUAUCUCCACCUCCCAAGUGCAUUAUAGGCAUCCGUCUUUAUGUUCAGUUUUAUGUGGUGAUAAGGAUUAACCUCAGAGAUUCAUGAGUGCUAGGCAGAUACUCUGCCAGAUCUGGCUCCAUGCAAAUAUCUUGAUAUAAUUUGUGUAAAUAUUCAUUUCAGUUAAACAUCUGUGAGACACUAUGGAGAACAAGAAAACAAGUCCCAGAACAGGAUAGAUCUGAAAGAGGUGAUGUUUAGAUCAUGAGCUGAUUAAGAAAUAGAAAGCAGUCUUUGGGAUUCAAAGACUUUCCUGGGGAGAUGCUAUGUUUUCCAUAGUCCAUGGAAGGACAUCACUUAUUGUAACUACCUGAGGAAUCAAGAUAAUUCCAGCUAACACCUUAAGUUCAGAGGUAAAGAACUUAAAACAGAACAGGUACUUUUAAAAUAGAAAUUUUAAAAAAUCUCAAUUUAUCCAAUUCUUAUACAGCUCUUCCAAAUGAAAUCUAUCACAAGGGUGUUCAAGGUGUUUAAUAUGUAGAAUUCAUAGUGUACGGCAUAUAUACUGUUCAUGUGUAUGUCUGUACAUGUUCUUCAAGGUAUACGUGUGUGUGUUUGUGUGUACACAUGUGUGUGUAUAUACCAGAAAUUGACAUUGGGUGUCUUCCUUGAUUGCUCUCCACUUUACUUUCUGAGUCAGGGUCUUUUACCGAGCCUGGAAUCCUUCAGUUCUGCUAGGCUGGCCACCAAUGAACUGCACCCAGUCUAGAACACCCAGCAUUGGAGCUUACAGACUUGUGCCACCAUCCUUUCCACAUGGGUGCUGGCAAUCUAAAUUCAGGUUCUCGUGCUUGAGCAAGCACUUUGCUAACUGCACCAUUUCCGGAGCCCUUAAACCUCAGAAUUUUAAAUUGCCAUUACAUUAUACAUUCUUUAUGUUACCCCAUUUUAAAGAUGCAAGUCUCAAAGAAGAUACCACAGGUAGCAGGUGGGUACAUCAGGAGUCAAACAGGCAAACGUGCAUUCGAACUAGUGAUUCUUGUGGUUUCUGUAACUGGAAUUGGUGCUAUUUUGUACUGUCAAGCCCCGUGUGGGAAUUGUGACCGCAGGAUGACAUUAAUUGGAAGUGCCAAUGAAGACAGCAUAGCAAAGCACUUGAAUGCUGCUGUAAAUGAAUUUCCAGGAUCCACGGUUUUCUCUUGUAUAAAAUGUAGAUAAUGACACCGAUCUCACCGGGUUAUUUAUAAGAUGAAAUGAGACAAUUUGGGUGAGCACACUUUCAAAGCAAAAUACAUUACACAAGUGUUGUGUGCAUGGCUGAGGGGAAACAGCAUUUAGAACAUUCUUCAUCAAUCCACACAGUUUCCAGAUACAUUUUGAUAAUGAAGAUCCAACCCCAUCCCUAAAGAGAAAUCAACGUUCUCUCAUCAAAGCAAAGCACAAAAGCAGAACAACUUUAAUUUAUUAUUAGUGUGCGUCAGCUGGUUCAUACAUUCUGUAAGUUCUUAUACUGAAUAUUUCCACUGCAUUACAAGCCAAAAAGAGAGAUGAGAAGAGCCAGCUGGCUACUGGGGAAAGUGCUUUCUCAUUUGUUAGAGAAUCUUGCUCAUCCAUCAAAGGGUUUCCCAGGAUUGGAUGUUUUUCUCAUUUGUUCCCUCUUCUUGCUCUGGCGAGUCUCUGGGUCCUUCAGUCAACUGUAAAUCAUUCGCUGAUACAGAUUACCUUCUCUUGGGCUCCUUCCAUCCACCCCCACCAACUCUCCUUUAAGUACUGAUAUAUAUAUUUUUUCUCUCACAGCUGGUAGCCCCAAGCUACCAAAUAAAGAUAUUUAAUAGCCAUUCUUGUUCUGUAACAAGAAAUCAAUAUACUAAAGGAAAAUAUAGAUUUUUUUUUCAGGGUGGAACAAAAAGGUUCUAGGAGCUGGAACAUCUGUCACCUUCAUAGACCGUGCCAAAGCUUCUCAUAAAUGGAGUCUUGCCUUUGAUCUCAUUUUCCUCUGUAAGAAUUAAAGGUAACAGUGAUGACUGGUUGCUUUGCACUCGUGUGCUAGAGCCAGAGUUACUAAGUGCAUUUAUGAGAAAUAGAAGAAUUUAGAAGUCUAUAACUUGAGCACAUCACUGAGGAGGGAAGCAUCGCCAGAAGUUACGUUAAUUUUAAUCAGUGUGUGCAGAGGGAGGGGGGCUUUCUCUUCCUAAAGAUGAUGUCACUCAAGUCUGUCCUCUAAUAAGGACUCACGACUGUCCCGUAGGCUAAUUCCUUCCUGUGCUUGUUGCUGCUUAGACCAUCGCCAACAAGAUUCCAUCUACAAUUAGAUUUACUAAGAGUCAAAACUAUUGGAAACGUGGUCCGUUCUGAGAACUAGACUAGUAUCUUGUAUCGUACUCAGUGAUGUGUGGCCCUUGAGGCUGAAGGCGGGGCAAGCCGAUGGCAAUGGCUUUCUCCAGCACUGUCUUUUCUAUGAGAGUCACUGUGAGGAUCCAGACAAGGCACAGAAGAGAGUUUUGGGAAUCGCCAGAGCUCUGCAAAGAAUUGAGAGGUGUCAGCACUGACCUUGUGAUCUCCACCAAUCAACUGUUCUAAAGUUCAGUUUUAGCAAAAAAACUAGACAGGACUCAAGGAAACCCCCUAUUCCAUCCCCCUCCCCCUGCUUCUAUGAGGAUGCUCUCCCACCUGCCCACCCACUCUUGCCUUCCCCACCCUGGCAUUCCCCUACACUGGGACAUGGAGCCUUCCCAGGACCAAGGGCCUCUCCUCCCAUUGAUGUCUGACAAGGCCAUCCUCUGCUACAUAUGCAGUUUGCAGCAGUAUGGAGGCUGGCAGGAUUGCCCAAGCAGAAGGCUGAGGCCACAAGAGGAACAAUCUGUUGGAGCAAGGCUUUGGAGCACUUGUUCGUGAAGGGUGUAAUAAUAAGUGCCGUGGUGUGGGAACUUAAACAAAUAAGAAUCUCCUUCCUCAAAGUUUGAGAGGCCCAAGAUUCAAGAUGGACAUGUCCACAGGAUGGGCGUCCUUCACUCCUGGUUUGCAAACAGUCACCCCCUGUCUGUGUCUACAUAAGCUCUUACCAUGUGUGUUUCUUCCUGGUGCCUCUCAGAGUCGAUGUUGCUUUUUUUCAUAAGAGUACCAAUUAAGGAUGACUUAGGGACCCUAAAUAGACCCAUUUUAACUACAUUAUCUUUUCACUGUUAUUUUCUUGGUUUCCUAAGGAUCAGACAAGGGGCCUUACGUAUGAUAGGUGAGUGCUCUACCAGUGAGCUACACACCCAGCACCCUUAAUAACAGCUUUAAAGAGCAGCCCUCCAAUGCAAAUACCUUCUUAAGUACUAGCAAUUGGGGCUCUAAUAUGAAUUUAGAAACAUGCAUUUAGAAGAAAGGGGCACAAAACAGCCCUUAUUCAAGGACACUUGAGCACUUGGUGGCUUCAUGGCACCUCUCUAUACACUCUCAGUGCCACCUCUAGACCCCACUUAACAUGAGGAAGAUGCCUCCCUUGCAUUAAGCUUUGUGUCCAGGCACUUCUCAUCCAUGCAGGUAGCCGCAUUCCCUAACUGAUACGUAGCAUCUCACUUCAGCUGUUCUUGUUCACCUCUUUUGAAUCUUGUAUGGAGUGGAGUUCCCUCUUCAAUUAAAAGAAAUUAUUC
rnacentral:lncRNA from 1 species